UCACCAUCAUCAGUGGAUGCCUUUGCCGUCUGUAGCCUGAGAUUUCAGAUUUGCAGCAAAAAAAAUUGAUUUUCUCAUUUAUUGGAAUGCUAUGCAGGUUGUACCUUGCAGCCAUCCAUUACAAUGUCACCAAGCCGUAACAAAAGCAGGAGAGGGAAAGUACAAGGCUAUGUUCCCAAAACACACAAAUGACAUACCUUAUGUGGAUGAUGUGAUCAGGCUUGUGUUUGCUGAGGUAUUUGAAGAUAAGCUGAAGGAAACCCCGAUUCCAAUGGACCUGGCAUCACAGUUUGAGAGACCUUCAAAGGAGGACGUGAUUGCAUGCCAUCUUCAGUGCAG